rnacentral:rRNA from 1 species
GACGAACGCUGGCGGCGUGCUUAACACAUGCAAGUCGAGCGAGGCCCCUCCUUCGGGAGGGUGUCCUAGCGGCGAACGGGUGAGUAACACGUGGGCAACCUGCCCUCAGCUCUGGGAUAACUCCGGGAAACCGGGGCUAAUACCGGAUACGACCUCCACGGGCAUCUGCGGAGGUGGAAAGUUUUUCGGCUGAGGAUGGGCCCGCGGCCUAUCAGCUAGUUGGUGGGGUAGUGGCCCACCAAGGCGACGACGGGUAGCCGGCCUGAGAGGGCGACCGGCCACACUGGGACUGAGGCACGGCCCAGACUCCUACGGGAGGCAGCAGUGGGGAAUAUUGCGCAAUGGGCGAAAGCCUGACGCAGCGACGCCGCGUGAGGGACGAAGGCCUUCGGGUUGUAAACCUCUUUCAGCAGGGACGAAGCGAAAGUGACGGUACCUGCAGAAGAAGCACCGGCCAACUACGUG